GGAAGAAGAUGUCAUGUCAUGCCACCCAUCUCUCAAAUAAUUUUUUUCUUCUUCUUCUUUUGAAUUGAAAGCCCCAAAACAUUUGCUUUUUUGUUGCUUCUCUAUACAAAAUUGUUGGCAGAAUUCCACGUUCAUACAAUUGAUUCAAGCUGCAUCCAUUUUGUUUCUAUACGAUUUUUGCAAACUCGUGUGGUCAUUUUGUCGAGCAGCUGGUGUGCAUAGAAAGUGUAAGAAGAUAGACCAAGUAAAACGCAACAAAUCUGGAAACCAAAGCCAAAGAUUUAAUGAUAUGCAUACCAGCGAUUAGGUGGACCGAACGUAGUACGUUGUAGGAAGUUAACAUCGUCCAUCACAUUAGGCAUCACAAAAGUCUCAACUUUCAUUGUUUACGUCAUCCUUUCGAUUCUCUGUUAUACUAUUUAGAAGAAAGAAUGGAGGAUCUAAGGUUAUGAGAAAAGAG
rnacentral:lncRNA from 1 species